GGCAAGUAUAUAAAGAAAUUAUUAUGGAUAAUUAGCUAUAUAUUAAAGAAUAUCUAGUCAAUCUAGUUUCUAAGAGAAAUCAGAUAAUAAACGAAGUGAAUUGAAAUAUCUUAGUAACUUCAGGAAAAGAAAUCAAACGAGAUUGUUAUUUGGUGUAAACUAAAUAACAAAAGCCUAAAAACAAAACUUGUUAAAGUAAAACGGAUUAAAGUCUGUUUGAAUAAAGGGGAACCUUCCUCUAAGGCUAAAGAUGAUAUAUAAGCGAUAGUGAAAAGUACCGUGAGGUAAAAUUUGAAAUAGUAAUUUUAUAAGCAGCUCGAGUGAAAUUUAAAUAAAAAAUAAGAGCGUACCUUUUGCAUAAUGGGUCAGCAAGUUAAUUUUAGAUGCAAGCAAUGAUUUCAUGCACUUCAGGCAUGAAACUAGCUUAGAUAAACCAAUUAUGAAAAAAUGAAUAAGUAUCUAGAAUUAGACCCGAAGGCUAGUGAUCUUACCAUGGUCAGGGUUAUAAAAGCCCGAACGGGUUAUCGUUGUAUAGAUAUCCGAAGAACUGUGGUAAGCUAGUGAAAGACAAAACUGACUAGUAUAGCUGGUUUUCCGCGAAACC
rnacentral:ncRNA from 1 species